GACGAACGCUGGCGGCGUGCUUAACACAUGCAAGUCGAACGGAAAGGCCCUGCUUUUGUGGGGUGCUCGAGUGGCGAACGGGUGAGUAACACGUGAGUAACCUGCCCUUGACUUUGGGAUAAAUUCAGGAAACUGGGGCUAAUACCGGAUAGGAGCUCCUGCUGCAUGGUGGGGGUUGGAAAGUUUCGGCGGUUGGGGAUGGACUGGCGGCUUAUGCGCUUGUUAGUGGGGUAGUGGAUUACGAAGGCUUUGAAGGGUAGCCGGCCUGGGAGGGGGACCGGCGACAAGGCUACUGAGAUACGCCCCAGUCUCCUACGGGAGGCAGCAGGGGGGAAUAUUGCACAAUGGGCGGAAGCCUGAUGCAGCAACGCCGCGUGCGGGAUGACGUGCUACGGGUUGUAAACCGCUUUCGCCUGUGACGAAGCGUGAGUGACGGUAAUGGGUAAAGAAGCACCGGCUAACUACGUG
rnacentral:rRNA from 1 species